AGAGUUUGAUCAUGGCUCAGGAUGAACGCUGGCGGCGUGCCUAACACAUGCAAGUCGAACGGAGUUCUUAAGGAAUGCGACUUCGGUCAAAUGACUUUUGAACUUAGUGGCGGACGGGUGAGUAACGCGUGAGCAACCUGCCUUUCAGAGGGGGAUAACAUUUGGAAACAGAUGCUAAUACCGCAUAAGAUUACAGUACCGCAUGAUACAGUGAUCAAAGGAGCAAUCCGCUGAAAGAUGGGCUCGCGUCCGAUUAGAUAGUUGGUGAGGUAACGGCUCACCAAGUCGACGAUCGGUAGCCGGACUGAGAGGUUGAACGGCCACAUUGGGACUGAGACACGGCCCAGACUCCUACGGGAGGCAGCAGUGGGGAAUAUUGCACAAUGGGCGAAAGCCUGAUGCAGCAACGCCGCGUGAGGGAAGACGGUUUUCGGAUUGUAAACCUCUGUUUUCGGUGACGAAUAAAUGACGGUAACCGAGUAGGAAGCCACGGCUAACUACGUGCCAGCAGCCGCGGUAAUACGUAGGUGGCAAGCGUUAUCCGGAAUUACUGGGUGUAAAGGGAGCGCAGGCGGGAUAGCAAGUCAGUUGUGAAAACUAUGGGCUCAACCCAUAGAUUGCAGUUGAAACUGUUAUUCUUGAGUGGAGUAGAGGCAAGCGGAAUUCCGAGUGUAGCGGUGAAAUGCGUAGAUAUUCGGAGGAACACCAGUGGCGAAGGCGGCUUGCUGGGCUCUAACUGACGCUGAGGCUCGAAAGUGUGGGGAGCAAACAGGAUUAGAUACCCUGGUAGU
rnacentral:rRNA from 1 species